AUUGAACGCUGGCGGCAGGCCUAACACAUGCAAGUCGAGCGGCAGCGGGAAAGUAGCUUGCUACUUUUGCCGGCGAGCGGCGGACGGGUGAGUAAUGCCUGGGAAAUUGCCCAGUCGAGGGGGAUAACAGUUGGAAACGACUGCUAAUACCGCAUACGCCCUACGGGGGAAAGCAGGGGACCUUCGGGCCUUGCGCGAUUGGAUAUGCCCAGGUGGGAUUAGCUAGUUGGGGAGGUAAUGGCUCACCAAGGCGACGAUCCCUAGCUGGUCUGAGAGGAUGAUCAGCCACACUGGAACUGAGACACGGUCCAGACUCCUACGGGAGGCAGCAGUGGGAAUAUUGCACAAUGGGGGAAACCCUGAUGCAGCCAUGCCGCGUGUGUGAAGAAGGCCUUCGGGUUGUAAAGCACUUUCAGCGAGGAGGAAAGGUUGAUGCCUAAUACGUAUCAACUGUGACGUUACUCGCAGAAGAAGCACCGGCUAACUCCGUGCCAGCCGCCGCAGUAA
rnacentral:rRNA from 1 species